AACGAACGCUGGCGGCAUGCCUAACACAUGCAAGUCGAACGAAGCCUUCGGGCUUAGUGGCGCACGGGUGCGUAACGCGUGGGAAUCUGCCCUUUGGUUCGGAAUAACAGUUGGAAACGACUGCUAAUACCGGAUGAUGACGAAAGUCCAAAGAUUUAUCGCCAGAGGAUGAGCCCGCGUAGGAUUAGCUAGUUGGUGUGGUAAAGGCGCACCAAGGCGACGAUCCUUAGCUGGUCUGAGAGGAUGAUCAGCCACACUGGGACUGAGACACGGCCCAGACUCCUACGGGAGGCAGCAGUGGGGAAUAUUGGACAAUGGGCGAAAGCCUGAUCCAGCAAUGCCGCGUGAGUGAUGAAGGCCCUAGGGUUGUAAAGCUCUUUUACCCGGGAUGAUAAUGACAGUACCGGGAGAAUAAGCCCCGGCUAACUCCAUGCCAGCAGCCGCCGCGG
rnacentral:rRNA from 1 species